UCAUUGGAGAGUUUGAUCCUGGCUCAGGACGAACGCUGGCGGCGUGCUUAACACAUGCAAGUCGAACGGAAAGGCCCCUUUGGGGGUACUCGAGUGGCGAACGGGUGAGUAACACGUGAGUAACCUGCCCUUGACUUCGGGAUAACUUCAGGAAACUGGGGCUAAUACCGGAUAGGAAUCCUUGCUGCAUGGUGGGGGUUGGAAAGCUUCGGCGGUUUUGGAUGGACUCGCGGACGGGUAGCCGGCCUGAGAGGGCGACCGGCCACAUUGGGACUGAGAUACGGCCCAGACUCCUACGGGAGGCAGCAGUGGGGAAUAUUGCACAAUGGGCGGAAGCCUGAUGCAGCAACGCCGCGUGCGGGAUGACGGCCUUCGGGUUGUAAACCGCUUUCAGCAGGGGCGAAGCUUUUGUGACGGUACCUGCAGAAGAAGCACCGGCUAACUACGUGCCAGCAGCCGCGGUGAUACGUAGGGUGCGAGCGUUGUCCGGAUUUAUUGGGCGUAAAGAGCUCGUAGGUGGUUGAUUGCGUCGGAAGUGAAAACUUGGGGCUUAACCCUGAGCGUGCUUUCGAUACGGGUUGACUUGAGGAAGGUAGGGGAGAAUGGAAUUCCUGGUGGAGCGGUGGAAUGCGCAGAUAUCAGGAGGAACACCAGUGGCGAAGGCGGUUCUCUGGACCUUUCCUGACGCUGAGGAGCGAAAGCGUGGGGAGCGAACAGGCUUAGAUACCCUGGUAGUCCACGCUGUAAACGGUGGGUACUAGGUGUGGGGUCCAUUCCACGGAUUCCGUGCCGUAGCUAACGCAUUAAGUACCCCGCCUGGGGAGUACGGCCGCAAGGCUAAAACUCAAAGGAAUUGACGGGGCCCCGCACAAGCGGCGGAGCAUGCGGAUUAAUUCGAUGCAACGCGAAGAACCUUACCUGGGUUUGACAUGGACUGGGAGUGCUCAGAGAUGGGUACGCCUCCUUGUGGGGCUGGUUCACAGGUGGUGCAUGGCUGUCGUCAGCUCGUGUCGUGAGAUGUUGGGUUAAGUCCCGCAACGAGCGCAACCCUCGUUCACUGUUGCCAGCACGUUAUGGUGGGGACUCAGUGGAGACCGCCGGGGUCAACUCGGAGGAAGGUGGGGAUGACGUCAAGUCAUCAUGCCCCUUAUGUCCAGGGCUUCACGCAUGCUACAAUGGCCGGUACAAAGAGUUGCGAGCCUGUGAGGGUGAGCGAAUCUCGGAAAGCCGGUCUCAGUUCGGAUUGGGGUCUGCAACUCGACCCUAUGAAGUCGGAGUCGCUAGUAAUCGCAGAUCAGCAACGCUGCGGUGAAUACGUUCCCGGGGCUUGUACACACCGCCCGUCAAGUCAUGAAAGUCGGUAACACCCGAAGCCGGUGGCCUAACCUGUGUGGGGGAGCCGUCGAAGGUGGGACUGGUAAUUAGGACUAAGUCGUAACAAGGUAGCCGUACCGGAAGGUGCGGCUGGAUCACCUCCUUU
rnacentral:rRNA from 1 species